GCAUUGAUGGUCCGGCGGUAGGAUUCUUGCCUUCCAAGCAAGAGGCUCGGGUUUGACUCCCGGUCAAUGCA